rnacentral:lncRNA from 1 species
UCCACGAGAGGCGACGUUUUUUUUAUUAACCGAGUACAUAAAAUUUUACAAUGUAGAGUAUAUAUAAGUAUUACUUCUAUUUCAACCCUAAUUGUGAAGGGGAUUUGGUCCGGUAGGGACAAGUUGAUGGGAUACGGUGUGCAGUCGGUGAUGAGGAAUAUUGGGGACGUUGAAGUAGAUGGAGAAAUACUUGAUUCUCAAUCUUUCCUGGUGUGUGGGAUGAUGAUG